AAACAGCAUAUGCAAGCUCAUGCCAUUUUAUUCAAAAUAGAGGAUUCCGCCGAUUUUGCAAAGAUUGUUUCCCAUUCAAAAGCAAUCAUUUUUCUUGGUUUGGAGAAGAGAUUGUUUUCAAAGGUUGAGGGUUAGGAAGAAGAGAGUGUUUGGAUACACCUAUAAUACAUCUAGGAUCCGAAUGAG